CCUCAUCUCCAAUGGGUUUGUAGACCCUAAAACAUAAGCAUUACAUGCGGUGGGGAGAGAUUAUGUUUUGGGUACACAAGUGGUGGCAACGAAAAUCCUUUUUUGUUUCUUCCGGUUUCGUCCAAUCCUUUGCCUUCCACUUCUUCUUCCCUCCCUUAGAACCACUACCCGUAAGGCACCAUGGGGAGGUCGAUCAAAGGCAGGGGGUGUUUAAUUCGUACUGUACUAUCUAUAUUUUUGUGAAAUACAACACAAGUUCAUGCAACACAAGUUCGUAACUACAAACACAUCAUACACUGACCAAUUCUUCAUCCUCAGUGCAUUUUAUCUGUGUCAACCAGUGUACCCUAAUCCUUUAUUGCUCAGCUAUGUACUUGUGUAGUUACUUCUCCAGUAGACAUGCACCUUCCAGCUGUCCCUAUUCUAAACUUUUCGGCCU
rnacentral:lncRNA from 1 species